AGCUUGCUGGAUGCCGACGAGCGGCGGACGGGUGAGUAAUGCAUAGGAAUCUGCCCAGUCGUGGGGGAUAACCUGGGGAAACCCAGGCUAAUACCGCAUACGUCCUACGGGAGAAAGCGGGGGCUUCGUGUUCUUCGGAAUAAGGACCUCGCGCGAUUGGAUGAGCCUAUGUCGGAUUAGCUGGUUGGUGAGGUAACGGCUCACCAAGGCGACGAUCCGUAGCUGGUCUGAGAGGAUGAUCAGCCACACCGGGACUGAGACACGGCCCGGACUCCUACGGGAGGCAGCAGUGGGGAAUAUUGGACAAUGGGCGCAAGCCUGAUCCAGCCAUGCCGCGUGUGUGAAGAAGGCUUUCGGGUUGUAAAGCACUUUCAGUGGGGAAGAAGGCCUGGCGGUCAAUACCCGCCAGGGACGACAUCACCCACAGAAGAAGCACCGGCUAACUCCGUGCCAGCAGCCGCGGUAAUACGGAGGGUGCGAGCGUUAAUCGGAAUUACUGGGCGUAAAGCGCGCGUAGGCGGCCAAGUAAGCCGGUUGUGAAAGCCCCGGGCUCAACCUGGGAAUGGCAUCCGGAACUGGUUGGCUAGAGUGCAGGAGAGGAAGGUAGAAUUCCCGGUGUAGCGGUGAAAUGCGUAGAGAUCGGGAGGAAUACCAGUGGCGAAGGCGGCCUUCUGGACUGACACUGACGCUGAGGUGCGAAAGCAUGGGUAGCAAACAGGAUUAGAUACCCUGGUAGUCCAUGCCGUAAACGAUGUCGACUAGCCGUUGGGUCCCUUGAGGACUUGGUGGCGCAGUUAACGCGAUAAGUCGACCGCCUGGGGAGUACGGCCGCAAGGUUAAAACUCAAAUGAAUUGACGGGGGCCCGCACAAGCGGUGGAGCAUGUGGUUUAAUUCGAUGCAACGCGAAGAACCUUACCUACCCUUGACAUCCUGCGAACCCGCCGGAGACGGCGGGGUGCCUUCGGGAGCGCAGAGACAGGUGCUGCAUGGCUGUCGUCAGCUCGUGUUGUGAAAUGUUGGGUUAAGUCCCGUAACGAGCGCAACCCUUGUCCUUAUUUGCCAGCACGUAAAGGUGGGAACUCUAAGGAGACUGCCGGUGACAAACCGGAGGAAGGUGGGGACGACGUCAAGUCAUCAUGGCCCUUACGGGUAGGGCUACACACGUGCUACAAUGGCCGGUACAAAGGGUUGCCAUCCCGCGAGGGGGCGCCAAUCUCAUAAAGCCGGUCUCAGUCCGGAUCGGAGUCUGCAACUCGACUCCGUGAAGUCGGAAUCGCUAGUAAUCGUGCAUCAGAAUGGCACGGUGAAUACGUUCCCGGGCCUUGUACACACCGCCCGUCACACCAUGGGAGUGGACUGCACCAGAAGUGGUUAGCUUAACCUUCGGGAGAGCGAUCACCACGGUGU
rnacentral:rRNA from 1 species